CGGAAUUGUUUGUCCCUCUGCGCAUUCCUUACGUGUCAAUGUGGCUGUGUUGUUCUCAUGAUGUGUGCACUCCACAUCAAACUCUUAGUUAGUAAAAAGAAAGAAUAAUUAUGGGAGAUGAGCAUCCACUUCAGGUUAGCAACACUAGCAGUUCCCGCUGUACUUUCUUCAACGCAGUGCCCGAUGACUAUCGAUGUGAUGUGAUUCUUAAGGCGAAAAGAGCCACAGGCACAUUUUCACUAGUGGCAUGCCUUUUCAUGCUGUUUGCAAUAUGGCUGCUCCGCCGAUAUAACUCUUUGGCUCAGAAAAUGAUAUUCAGUCUGACAGUAGCUGCAGCUUUUGACAGUGUUGCUUAUGUUAUGGGAGAGUCUCAUGCAGAGGGGUCUCUGUGUAAUUUUCAAGCCUGGUGGCUCACAUAUUUUGACUGGACCGCGCUGAUGUGGGUUUGUCUUAUUACAUUUAAUCUGUACCUGAACCUGGUGAGAGAAAUCAGAACUGAACCUUAUGAAAUACCGUAUCAUUUGGUGGCAUGGGGGGGUUCCUCUGCUCAUGUCCACCCUCCCCCUGAUGGCUGGAUACUACGGCCCCGCUGGAGCCUGGUGGUGAGUGGCCUUUGACUUUUGAUAUAUUCUUAAUUGCAUUCAUAUCACUACAGUCAUCA
rnacentral:lncRNA from 1 species